UACGGAGGGGGCUAGCGUUGUUCGGAAUUACUGGGCGUAAAGCGCACGUAGGCGGACCUACAAGUCGGGGGUGAAAUCCCGGGGCUCAACCCCGGAACGGCCUCCGAAACUGUGGGUCUGGAGGUCGAGAGAGGCGAGUGGAAUUCCGAGUGUAGAGGUGAAAUUCGUAGAUAUUCGGAGGAACACCAGUGGCGAAGGCGGCUCGCUGGCUCGAUACUGACGCUGAGGUGCGAAAGCGUGGGGAGCAAACAGG
rnacentral:rRNA from 1 species